rnacentral:other from 1 species
CGUUUUCUGCGGUGCGCGCCAGCGCACUCUAACAUUUGCCUUGUUCCUAAAUACGGCCCCGGGUCGGCCUCACAUCGAUUGUUGUGCAUGUCCGCUGCGUGCGGAAAGCCUCGAGAUCAUGUUCGCCCUCCCACCUGAUCCAGUCUGGAUCAAGGUCGUUUGGUGAGCAGCGGCACCGUGGUUUACGC